CCUGUGUCUGGCAACAUCUUGCCAAGCUUCUCACUCCUGCAGCUCAAGGAGAUUUGGAGUAGCCAGGGCGCAGAGAAAUCAGGCAGGAACUAGGAGCCUUUGAGCAGUGCACUGCAAAAGCCAAAGGAUGGCUGUAAUGUUCCGUCUGGGACGGAAGAGGAAAUCUCAAGAAAUGGAUGACCUCAGUAGCCAACCCCCCUGGAUCCUCAGCUCCGCAGAACACUCAGCUCACGUGACUGAGUCAAACUUUCUCAUCAAUCUCCACAGUUCCUUCCUUGUUCACAGUUAAGUUUUCCUAAAAUAUGCAUUUCUGCUCUGCUAACAGUUAGCUGAGAAUACCAUCAUUUUCUUUCCCAGCAUCUGAAAGCUUGUCUUUGAUUUUUCCAGUUAUUGUUCCUUCUUUAAUAUCUGUAGAGAACCUAGAGUAGUCUAAUUACUGUAGUCAAUCUGUAUCACUUGAUUCACAUGACAGGAGGCUAAACUGCAUGAUGAUUUACUUCUGUGAAACUCCAUAUAAAUGAAUUGGUGUCAGAAGAGAAUUUUUCUUUUGGUAUAUUUCUCUCCUGCUAUGUUUCACAGACUACCUUACAGAUGGAACUAUAAAACAGUGCUAUUAGAUGUAAUCUUCCUACGUGAAAUUGUUGCAGUGCCCUAGUACAAGGGGAAAAAAAAAAAAAGAAGAAAAAAAAAAAGCUGAGCAUUUAACCUUAAUUUCUGAAGAGCAGAGCAGAAGUCUGAAUUUAGAGAACGGAACAAUGGAACUUCAUGAUGCUUCAUGAUGCUAUGAUGCUUCAUACACCAGUGGACUAUCCGAAUUUCAUUGCUCCUCUAAGGAAGACAAGAUGUCCCACCAAAGGCUGCACAUUCCUAAAGCUUCAUGUUCUGUAUGUGAACUAUGCAAAGUACUUGUAUGUGAGAGAAAAACAGAUGGCACACUAA
rnacentral:lncRNA from 1 species